GCCCUGUGAUGAGACCAAGGCGAAUGCAAGCUCACUGAAUGAGAGUAGGUUCUUCUUGCCAUGACUGGCAGGUAAUCUUGGCAGUGCAGGGGAGGAUUCCUGCUCUGCUGUAAGGGCCUGCCGACAGUGACUUAGCUCAACCCAAAUUACUCCUUUUUAAAGUUACAGAGGACUAAUCAUGGGGAAGAUGCUGACAGUGUGUUUGUUUGUGUGUGUGUAAUAGGCAAGAAGAUCUACCCUGCUCUCGUUGCUAUUCAGUGAGCUAUGAGCUGUUUCUUUGGUAAUCUGAGGGCC